AACAUACAUAUGCAAUUGCUAAAUGCGAAAGACGAGUGACAUACCUGCUUGUUUUCCCUUCUCCGAGGGUGAUUCCUUGUGCUACUCUCCUCAACAACCUCCUUCACCACCUCACCACCGUUCUCAUUCCCUCCUCCUCCGCUGCCGCUUUCGCUCUCUCUCUCCUUCUCAGUUUCCUCUUGAGUCUCUCUCUCCUUCCCUUUUUCUUUUUCCUUCUUUUCCUUCAAACUCAAUUCCUGAAUCUUCCGAAUCUCAUCGAGGAAAGCAGGGUCGAGAUUCCUAAUCCAUUCGAUCACGGCGGGGUCGAGUGUCCGAAUCAAUUCAAGGAUUUCAGGAUCGAGAUCGGACGGCGCAUGAGACGGAAUAGACGGUGGAUGACCACUUUGAUCAUCGAUGGGAUUUAGGCGAAAGGCGACGCCUUGAGGGAGUUCCGAUUGCCGUCCGGAUCGAAAGUACCUAUAAAUUUCGACCAACACUGUAAAUGACACCGGUAGCAGAACACGCGCCGUUGGCAACAUUGGUAGUUUUUGCGCUGGCGGGGACGGCGGAGGCGGCGGCUGAAACUGGGUUGCUGGGUUUGCUGUGAACUUGCAACUAGCAGCUACAUUAUCAUUACGGAUUAAAUAGAGUUUUAGUUGGUUGAUUAAUUGUAGAAACUGGGUUUUGACUGGUUAAAUCAAAGGCGUCGGCUUUUUCUAGCAGAGGCAUGUUUGGAUUGCUUUUCAAUUCCAAAGAUACUUUGGAAAAGCGGACACUCGUGUACUUAGAUGCACUAGCUACAGUGCCUUUACGUGAACACCUAUUACUUCGAUACGAAGGAAUCAUAAACCAUAAAAGCUUUGAGCUACUUUACAACUCUCAAGAUGUUUCAAAAUCUCUGCUGAAUCAUAAACCGAUAAGCUUUAAGCUAAUUGAAUCAUAAAUCAAUAAGCUUUGAGUUAUUUUAUAACUCUCAAAAUGUUUCAAAAUCUCAACUGAAUAUACCGCAUACUCUGUCAUUUUGAUUAUCCUAAGUUUUAAUUUUGGGGCAAAGGUUGACUUAUAUGACCUCAGUUGACGCAUGCGUUGAGUUAUAUGACCUGAGUUCACUGUCAACUUCACAGGUCCCCUCCGGUACCUACAAACAUGUUAUUUUGUAAUAUGGGUUCGUCUUUUUCAUUGGUGUUUUAUGUGCGAGUUUAAUCAAUGUUAGUGUUUUAUGUGUGAGUUUAAUCAAUGUUACAUGCAACAGACAACGCAAACGCCGCAACAAGUUCGAUACACAACAAAAGAUGCCAGCAGAAAUUUAUGGGGUGAGAUCAACAAGCCAUUUGAAGAUGCUCGGGGAAUAGGCAACGACGACGAAAUUGAAAGAAUAUUACCCGACUAAACUUGUAUUUUCCGGUAAAGUGACAUGGAUAAGAAAUCAUUUACACGUUUCAUUCACAAUUAAAAAGUUUGUGUCAUCCGUGUGAAAAGGUUUGAUACAUUUCUAAGAUUAAAUUUACCGAAAGAGAGAUUACACAUGUCCUCGGUGAUGCGAAUCCUGUGCUCUAUGCAAGCAUUCAUGCAUAACUUAUUGCACGGGCUGCGGUUGACUUGUACCAUCAGUUCCACUUCUGCUCCCAGCUAUUCCCGCCCCAUUAGUAGUCGCCCAGUACCACAUAUAUGACAAGCAAAGUGCGACUCCAUUUGCAAAAUUGCUCCACAGAACCAUUUACUUUCCAAAGAAUCUUUGGUAUAGGCAUCGAAUAGCCAGAAAAUUACAUAGAAUCACAAAAAAAAUCAAAGCCACUCCAGAGAGGAAUGAAAGAUAUGGUGUCUCUACAAUAAAAGGAACAAGUUCGGAUAGUGUUCCCAGAUGGGUGAAGAACAAAGCCGAGUCUUCUCUUUAUAUUAUGGAAGACGAACUAAUCGGGAUUGAAGACAAGAAGCAAACGUUAAUGGCAUGCGAUCUGUAAUGUGUGCAAAUGUUCUGAUCCUGGAUUUUGAACAAAUUUUGUGCGAUCAUGUAAUAUGGAAUCAAACUGAGGCUCUCAUCAUAGACAGGAGAGGAGACAACAAUUAGUCAAUAAUCUUUAUGAUUCAGGAACAAAGCGAAAAAACCCUUCCUAAGGUCAUAUUCCGAAAUCAGGAACUCAUUACCAAAGUCAAAAGAAGAGCUUACUGGUCUCAACGGCAGGCCUUUGUCACCGAGUGUGAAUGGGGGGCUACGGCAGUCUGAGUUUUUGGAUGGUGAUAUUUGCAAUUAGAUUUAAACUUGCAAUCUCCCGUUCUUGAGAAAUAACUGCAAUCAGGUUGGCCAGGUCUUUCUGGGAACUCUUCAACUUGAUUCUGGUGUGGAUAUUGUUUGUAGACGUUGGUCUCAGUCACUGAGUUGUUCAUCAUAUAUGGUGGACGUGCAGGCAUGCUUCCUUCUGGUAUAUAUGCUGGAGCCUAAAGGUGCAAACAGAAAAACAAUUGGCAUUAAUAUUAGGGAUAUCGAUAUGUUUCAACCCCCAAUAAAUGGUAGGAUACCAACAUCUCUUAUAACUUAUCCCUUCUAAUCCCGUCCCCACAUGAAGAAUCAUUCACAACGACCUUCAUUUCUUACUUCACCGUAUCUUAAAAUAGCAAAUUAUCAAAUCUAAUUCUACGCACCAAAUGAGAAGGUUUGACAAAUUCACUUCAGGAGGAGGCACAUACACCAAGUUUUUUUUGUCAAACCUCGUAAAUUCUUGAUGCACUCUUGUUUGUUUUGCUCAUUGUCGUCGAGGAUCAUCAAUUUUUUUUUUGUCCCGUCGAAUUAUUCAUCGCGAGGAGAGGAUCAAAUAAUAUCUAUGUAGACACUAACUUGGUUCAAAAAACAAAAUGUUUGAGUUCAUCCAGCAAUUCUUCCCCAUUGUUGGGGUUUGUUUGGUUUGGAGGUCAAUAGUUAACACAAUCACUUCUGUAGGUAGGAUUAUCCAACAAGCAAAUCCAAGAUAAUUGGGAAGUGACCAUAACCACAAAGCAAAGUUGAGAGGACACUCCCCAAAUUUAACCUGUAUUUUCUAGUAAAAUCGCUUCAAAUACGAAAUGAUUUACAUUUUCCGGCUUCAAUUAAGUUCUUACAUCCGAAAGACCGCUGGCAGCUGGGUGACAAGGUUUGAUACAUUUCCAAGUUCAAAAUAACAAAUCGAUUAACUCCUCUAGCUGGCGUUUCAUGCAAUACUUAUAACUCAGGCUGUUGCGGAAUUGUAGCAUCACUCCCAGCCAUACUUCCAGAUGUUCAAAGGGCAUGAGAAGGAAAAGAAAGAAGUCAAAACACGAAAAGAUCCGACUAUUAUCCCUAAAAAAAUGGUAACUCGUACAUCAAAAUCAUGAAAGGUAAAUAAACACAAGACUAUAAUACCUGAGUGAUGACACCCUUCCAUUCUGCAGUUUCAGCAUACUUCCAGAUGUUCAAAGGGCAUGAGAAGGAAAAGAAAGAAAUCAAAACACGAAAAGAUCCGACUAUUAUCCCUAAAAAAAUGGUAAUUCGUACAUCAAAAUCAUGAGAGGUAAAUAGACACAAGAGUAUAAUACCGGAGUGAUGACAUCAUUCCAUUCUGCAGUUUCGGAAUGAAUCCCAUGAGAUUCAUAAGUGGAUUGUGGGCGAGAUUCUUCUAAAGGUGUAGGAUCAGGGUGAUUAAACAAGCAGUUGUUUUCAUACUUGCAAGUGCCAGUUUGCAUAUAGUGCAAACAAUCUGCCUUCCCCUGUAAUACGUUAAAAUAAUAAUUCAGCGAAUACAUGGACACUUGAUAGUAGCUCCAACAGACUAAGAAAAUAGCAAAGACAAAAUCUCAAAUCUUAAGCACCAUGAAUAGAUAGAUAUUCAUUCCUCAUAUUUUUGCAGAUCAAACUGAGAGUUUACCGGACGAAUUGGCAGGCCCAAAAAGUUAAGUUCCAGAGCAGGAGCUACAGAGGGUUCCCCUUUACAUUGUCCAGGGCAAUACUGCAACAAGCUCAAGUGUUAUAUUAACAUCAUGAAACUGUUACUAGGCCGCCAUGCACAUCGCACAGAUUUGAAUAGGAGGCUACAAAGGGAAAGAAAUGUCAUUCACAAUUUAAAAAUUAAUUGUAAUCCUGUAUAAAAAGGAAUAUGUGAUUGUAAUGUAACACCAUACAAUUGUCAUGAAAACACAUCGACUAUAAGUUGAUCACAUUCAAGACCCUCAUCGUUCUAUAGUUAGCUACAAGAUAAAAGGUUUAAGAUAACCACGUCGCCUAUGAGUUGAUCAUGUUCAGCUGUGCAUGCUAACCGACCAGCUUUCAGAUAAACCAUAUAAGAAGCCCCAUCGUCACUCAAAACAGAAAGAGUUAAGAUAUUACAUGAAACCAAAUAUGCAAAGUAAAAGAAAACUUAAGGAUGUAAGGCAUGAAAACCAAGCAAUUGAAGUUCAAAACCAGAACUUCGGAUAGAUAAUAAUCUUGCUUCCGGUCUGGUCUUGCUUCUCUGUCAACUCUUCACUCUGCUUUGCCUUGUCCUUAGACACCUUCUAAACAAUAUGAUAAAGUUGAAAACACCAAGAAACACAGAGUGAGCACCAACAACACACAUUUCAUCCAGUCAUACAAGGCCAGAUGCAUUAAUGUUCCAAACACUAAAUGCAGGUCCAAAGUCGCCAUUUUUCAGUUAAUCCGAAGUACCAAUUUUCACGUACAAAUUUCACCACAAAGAUGCAUGUGAAGGAAAAACAUCAUCUCUAACAAAUAUGACAAGUGCAUCAUUUCGAGUCAAUUCUACCAACAAAGAUCAUCAUCACAGCAUAAUAAACUAACCGAUUAACACUCUUUACACUAUAACACAUGCAUGCAUGCAUUUUUUCUGCUAAAGCAUCAAACAAAGAGAGAUAAACACGAAAAGUCUCAAUCUUUCAACCAUAAACAUACAUAUGCAAAUGCUAAAUACAAAAAGUUAAGAUACUACUUGAAACCAAAUAUGCAAAGUAAAACAAACUUAAUGAUGUAAACUUGAAAACCAAGCAAUUGCAGUAAAAAGUUCAAAACCAGAACUUUGGAUAGAUAAUAACCUUGUUUUUGGUUUGGCCUUGCUUCUCUGCCAACUCUCCCCUCUGCUUUGCCUUGUCCUUAGACGCCUUCUAAACAAUAUGAUAAAGUUGAAAACACCAAGAUACACAAAGUGAGCACCAACAACACAAAUAUUUCAUCCAGUCAUACAAGGCCAGAUGCAUUAAUGUUUCAAACACUAAAUGCAGGUCCAAAGUUGCCAUGUUUCAGUUAAUCCGAAGUACCAGUUUUCACGUACAAAGUUCACCACAGAUGAUUGUGAAAGAAAAACAUCAUCUCUAACAAAUAUGACAGUUGCUUCAUUUCGAGUCAAUUCCACUGACAAAGAUCAUCAUCACGGCAUAAUAAACUAACCGAUUAACACAUUCUUUACACUAUAACACAUGCAUUUUUCAGCUAAAGCAUGAAACGAAGAGAGCUAAACACGAAAAGUCUCAACCUUUCAACCAUAAACAUACAUAUGCAAAUGCUAAAUACAAAAAGUUAAGAUACUACUUGAAACUAAAUAUGCAAAGUAAAACAAACUUAAUGAUGCAAACAUGAAAACCAAGCAAUUGCAGUAAAAAGUUCAAAACCAGAACUUCGGAUAGUUAAUAACCUUGUUUUUGGUUUGGCCUUGCUCCUCUGCCAACUCUCCUCUCUGCUUUGACUUGUCCUUAGACACCUUCUAAACAAUAUGAUAAAGUUGAAAACACCAAGAUACACAAAGUGAGCACCAACAACACAUAUUUCAUCCAGUCAUACAAGGCCAGAUGCAUUAAUGUUUCAAACACUAAAUGCAGGUCCAAAGUCGCCAUUUUUCAGUUAAUCCGAAGUACCAAUUUUCACGUACAAAUUUCACCACAAAGAUGCAUGUGAAGGAAAAACAUCAGCUCUAACAAAUAUGACAAGUGCAUCAUUUCGAGUCAAUUCUACCAACAAAGAUCAUCAUCACAGCAUAAUAAACUAACCGAUUAACACUCUUUACACUAUAACACAUGCAUGCAUGCAUUUUUUCUGCUAAAGCAUCAAACAAAGAGAGAUAAACACGAAAAGUCUCAAUCUUUCAACCAUAAACAUAUAUAUGCAAAUGCUAAAUACAAAAAGUUAAGAUACUACUUGAAACCAAAUAUGCAAAGUAAAACAAAAAAACUUAAUGACGUAAACAUGAAAACCAAGCAAUUGCAGUAAAAAGUUCAAAACCAGAACUUCAGAUAGAUAAUAACCUUGUUUUUGGUCUGGCCUUGCUUCUCUGCCAACUCUCCCCUCUGCUUUGCCUUGUCCUUAGACACCUUCUUCUAAUAAAUAUGAUAAAGUUCAAAACAGCAAGAAACACAAAGUGAGCACCAACAAUACAAAUAUUUCCUACAAUCAUACAAGACCAUAUGCAUUAAUGUCUAAAACGCUAAAUGCAGACCCAAAGUACCGAUUUUUCAAUUACAAAUUUCACCACAAAGAUGCAUGUGAAAGAAAACGUCAUCUCUAACAAAUAUGAUAAGUGCCUCCAUUUCGAUUUUUCGAGUCAAUUGCGCUGACAAAGAUCACCAACACAGCAUAAUAAACUAACCAAUCAACACAUUCUUUACACUAUAACACAUGCAUACAUGCAUUUCUCAGCUAAAGCCUGAAAAAUUGAGGGCUGAGGCUGGGAAAACAUGAAAAGUCUCAAUCUUUCAACCAUAAACAUAGAUAUGCAAAUGCUAAAUACAAAAAGUUAAGAAACCACUUGAAACAAAAUAUGCGAAGUAAAACAAUCUUAAUGAUGUAAAACAUGAAAACCAAACAGUUGCAUUUAAAAGUUCAAAACCAGAACUUCGGAUAGAUAAUUACCUUGCUUUCGGUCUGGUCUUGCUUCUCUGCCAACUCUUCCCUCUGCUUUGCCUUGUCCUUAGACACCUUCAUCUAAUAAAUAUGAUAAAGUUCAAAAUACCAAGAAACACAAAAUGAGCACCAAAAACACAAAUAUUUCAUGCAAUCAUAGAAGGCCAUAAGCAUUAAUGUCUCAUACGCUAAAUGCAGGCCCAAAGUCCCCAUUUUUUUUGUUAAUCCAAAGUCCAAAGUUUUCAUGUACAAAUUUCACCAAGCAUGUGAAAGGAAAAAAAUCAUCUCUUAACAAAUAUGAUAUGUGCCUCCAUUUCAAGCCAAUUCCGCUGACAAAAAUCAUCAUCGCGGCAUAACAAACUAACAAUUAAGAUUAACACAUUCUUUAAUUACACUAUAGCACAUGCAUACAUGCAUUUCUCAGCUGAGACAAUGAGUGUUGAGGCCUGGAAAACACGGAAAGUCUCAAUCAUUCAACCAUAAACAUACAUAAGCAAAUGUUAAAUACAAAACUUUAAGAUACAACUUGAAACCAAAUAUGCAAAGUAAAACUAACUUAAUGAUGUUAAACAUGAAAACCAAGUAGUCGCAGUAAACAACCAGAACAUCAGAUAGAUCAGAACCUUGCUUUCGGUAUGGUCUUGAUUCUCUGCCAACUCUUCCUUCUGCUUUGCCUUGUCCUUAGACAGCUUCUUCUAAUAGAUAUGAUGAAGUUCAAAACACAAAGAAACACAAAGUGAGCACCAACAACACAAAUAUUUCCUGCAAUAAUACAAUGCCAGAUGCAUUAAUUUCACAAACGCUAAAUGCUGGCCCAGAGUCCCCCAUUUUUUUUUGUUAAUCCAAAGUCCCGAAUUUUCAAGUACAAAUUUCACGACAAAGAUGCAUGUAAAAGAAAAACUUCAUCUCUAACAAAAAAUAGUGCCUCCAUUUCGAGUCAAUUUCGCUGACAAAGAUCAUCAUCAUGGUAUAAUAGACUAACCGAUCAACACAUUCUUUACACUAUAACACAUGCAUACAUGCACUUUUCAGCUAAAGCAUGAAACAAAGAGUGCUAAACACGAAAAGUUUCAAUCUUUCAACCAUAAACAUACAUAUGCAAAUGCUAAAUACAAAAAGUUAUGAUACUACUUGAAACAAAAUAUGUGAAGUAAAACAAACUCAAGAUGUAACACAUGAAAACCAAGCAGUUGCAGUAAAAAGUUCAAAACCAGAACUUCGGAUAGAUAAUGACCUUGCUUUCGGUCUGGUCUUGCUUCUCUGCCAACUCUUCUGUCUGCUUUGCCUUGUCCUUCGACACCUUCGUCCAAAAAAUAUGAUAAAGUUCAAAAUACCAAGAAACACAAAAUGCGCACCAAAACAUAAAUAUUUCAUGCAAUCAUAGAAGGCCAUAAGCAUUAAUGUCUCAAAUGCUAAAUCAGGCCCAAAGUCCCGAUUCUUUUUGUUAAUCCAAAGUCCAAAUUUUUAAUGUACAAAUUUCACCAAAAAAGUUGCAUGUGAAUGAAAAACAUCAUCUCUACAAAUAUGAUAUGUGCCUCCAUUUUGAGUCAAUUCCUGCUGACAAAUAUCAUCAAUAGAAGCAUAAUAAACUAACCAAUUAACACAUUCUUUACACUAUAACACAUGCAUUCAUGCAUUCCUCAGCUGAAACAAUGAGAGCUGAGGGUGGGAAAACACGAAAAAGUCUCAAUCUUUCAACCAUAAAAAUACAUACGCAAGUGCUAAAUACAAAAAAUUAAGAUACUACUUGAAACCAUGUACGCAAAGUAAAACAAACUUAAUGAUGUAAAACAAGAAAACCAAGCAGUUGCAAUAAAAAAGAACUUCGGAUAGAUAAUAACCUUGAUUUUGGUCUGGUCUUGCUUCUCUGCAAACUCCUCCCUCUGCUUUGCUUUCUCCUUAGACACCUUCUAUUAAAUAGAUAAAGUUCAAAACACCAAGAAACACAAAGGGAGCAUCAACAAAAUAAAUAUUUCGAGCUUAUGAUAAAGGCCAGAUGCAUUAAAUCUCAAAUACUAAAUUAUGGCCCAAAGUCCAAAUUUUUUUGUUAUUCCAAAAUCCCAAAUUUUCACAUACAAAUUUCACCACAAAGCUGCAUAUGAAAUUAUGAAUGAAAACAUCAUCUCUAACAAAUAUGACAUGUGCCUCCAUUUCAAGUCAAUUCUGCUGACAAAGAUCGUGAUCGUAGCUUAAUAAACUAACCGGUUAUAACAUUCUUUACACCAUAACACAUGCAUACAUGCAUUUCUCAGUUGAAACAAUGAGAGCUGAAGUCGGGAAAACAAGAAAAGACUCAAUCUUUCAACAAUAAACAUACAUAUGAAAAUGCUAAAUACAAAAAGUUAAGAUACUACUUGAAAUCAUAUAUGCAAAGUAAAACAAACUUAGUGAUGCAAAACAUUAAAAGCAGUUGCAUUGAAAACCAGAACUAUGGAUAGAUAAUAACCUUGCUUUCGGUCUGGUCUUGCUUCACUGCCAACUCUUCCCUCUGCUUUGCCUUGUCCUUAGUCACCUUCUUCUAAUAAAUUUGAUAAAGUUCAAAACACCAAGAAACACAAAGUGAGCAUCAACAACACAAAUAUUUCCUGCAAUCAUACAAGGCCGGAUGCAUUAAUGUCCCAAACACUAAAUGCAGGCUCAAAGUCUCAAUUUUUUUGUUAAUAAAAAAUCCCAAUUUUUUCACGUACAAACUUCACCACAAAGAUGCAUGUGAAAGAGAAAUAUCAUCUCCAAAAAAUAUGAUAUGCGCCUCCAUUUUGAGUCAAUGCCGCUGGAAAAAUCAUCUUCGCGGCAUAAUAAACGAACUGAUUAACAUAUUCUUUACACUAUAACAGAUGCAUACAUGCCUUUCUUAGCUGAAUCAAUCAGAGCUGAGGCUGGGUAAACACGAAUAGUCUCAAUCUUUCAACCAUAAACAUAAAUAUGCAAAUGCUAAAUACAAAAUGUUAAGAUAGUACAUGAAACCAAAUAUGCAAAGUAAAACAAUCUUAAUGAUGUAAAGCAGGAAAACCAAGUAGUUGCAGCAAAAAGUUAAAAACCAGAACUUCGGAUUGAUAUUAACCUUGCUUUCGGUCUGGACUUGCUUCUCUACCAACUCUUCCCGCUGCUUAGCCUUGUCCUUAGACACCUUCUAAUAAAUAUGAUAAAGUUGAAAACACCAAGAAACACAAAGUGAGCACAAAAAAAAUACAAAUAUUUCCUGCAAUCAUACAAGGCCAUAUGCAUUAAAGUCUCAAAUGCUAAAUGCAUACCCAAAGUCCCCAUUUUUUUUGUUAAUUCAAAGUCCCCAUUUUUCACGCACAAAUUUCAGAACAAAUAUGCAUGUGAAAGAAAACAUCACCUCUAACAAAUAUGAUAUGUGCCUACAUUUCAAGUCAAUUCUGCUAACAAAGAUCAUCAUAGCGGCAUAAUAAACUAACUGACUAUAACACAUGCAUACAUGCAUUUCUCAGCUGAAACAAUGAAAGCUAAGGCUGGGAAAACGCGGAAAGUCUCAAUCUUUCAACCAUAAACAUGCGUAUGCAAAUGCUAAAUACAAAAGGUUAAGAUACUACUUGAAACCAAAUGUGCUAAGUAAAAACAAACAUAAUGAUGUAAAACAUGAAAACCAAGCAAUUGUUGUAAAAUCAUAACUUUGAAUAGAUAAUAACCUUGUUUUCGGUCUGGUCUUGCUUUUCUGCCAACCCUUCCCUCGGCUUUGCCUUGUCGUUAGACACCUCCAACACAAAGUCGCCAACAAUUAUUUCCUGCUAUCAUACAAGGCCGGAUGCAUUAAUGUUUCAAACACUAAAUGCAGGCCCAAAGUCCCAAUUUUUUUUGUUAAUCCAAGGUCCUGAUGUUUCAUGUACAAAUUUCACCACAAAGAUGCAUGUGAAAGAAAAACUUCAUCUCUAACAAUUAUGAGAAAUGCCUCUAUUUUCAAGUCAACGGCAGCAUAAUACACUAACCAAUUAAUACAUACUUUACACUAUAACAUAUGCAUGCAUGCAUUUCUCGGCUGAAACAAUGAGAGCUGGGGCCUAGAAAACAUGAAAUGUCUGUCUUUCAACCAUAAACACACAUGCAAAUGCUAUGUACAAAAAGUUAAGAUACUACUUGAAACCAAAUAUGCAAAGCAAAACAAACUUAAUGAUGUAAAACAUGAAAACCAAGCACUUGCUGUAAAAACCAGAACUUCGGAAUUCAGAUAGAUAAUAACCUUGCUUUCGGUCUGGUCUUGCUUCUCUGCCAACUCUUCCCCCUGCAUUGCCUUGUCCUUGGACACCUUCAUCUAAUAAAUAUUAGAUAGUUCAAAACACAAAGAAACACAAAGUGCCAACAACACAAAUACUUAAUGCAAUCAUACAAGGCCAUUAAUGUCUCAAGCACUAAAUGCAGGCCCAAAGUCCUGAUUUUUCACGUACAAAUUUCACUACAAAGAAGCAUGUGAAAGAAAAUCCUCAUCUUUAACAAAUAUGAUAUGUGUCUCCAUUUCGAGUCAAUCCCGCUGACAAACAUCAUCGUCACGGCAUAAUAAACUAACCGAUUAACACAUUAUUUAUACUAUAACACAUGCAUACAUGCAUUUCUCAGCUGAAACAAUGAGAGGUGAGGCCGGAAAACACGAAAAGCCUAAAUCUUUCAACCCUAAACAUACAUAUGCAAUUGCUAAAUGCGAAAGACGAGUGAAAUACCAGCUUGUUUUUCCUUCUACGAGAGCGUUUACUUGUGCUACUCUCCUCAACAACCUCCUUCACCACCUCACCACCGUUCCCAUUCCCUCCUCCCCCGCUGCCGCUUUCGCUCUUUUCGCUCUCUCUCUCCUUCUUAGUUUCUUCUUGAGUCUCUCUCUCCUUCCCUUCUUUGUCCUCCUUUUCCUUCAAACUCAAUUCCCGACUCUUCCGAAUCUCAUCGAGGAAGGCAGGGUCGGGAUUCCUAAUCCAUUCGAUCACGGCGGGAUCGAGUGUCCGAAUCAAUUCAAGGAUUUCAGGAUCGAGAUCCGACGGCGCAGGAGACAGAAUAGACGGUGGAUGACCACUUUGAUCAUCGACGCGGUUGUUGUUAAUGGGAUUUAGGGGAACGGCGACGCCUUCAAGGAAUUCCGAUUGCAGUCCGGAUCGAUAGUACCUAUAAAUUUCGACCAACUCUGUAAAUGACACCGGUUGCAGAACACCCGUUGGCAACAUUGGUAGAUUUUGUGCUGGCGGGGACGGCGGCUGAAACUGGGUUGCUGGGUUUGCUGUGAACUUGCAACUAGCAGCUAGCAGCUACAUUAUCAUUACGGAUUAAAUUGAGUUUUAGUUGGUUGAUUAAUUGUAGAAACUGGGUUUUGACUGGUUAAAUCAAAGUCGUCUGCUUUUUCUAGCAGAGGCAUGUUUGGAUUGCUUAAUUCCAAAGCUGCUUUUGGAACAGUGCAUACUCAUGUAC
rnacentral:lncRNA from 1 species